UUUCUCCAGCACAGCGGUGAGAGUGUGUGAGCGGGAGUGAGGGACGCUUAUCAACUCGUGCAGUUUCCAGUUAGGUUGAGUGUGCUUGUUGAGUGUUUGUAGAGAGUUGUGCACAGUGACUAGUGUGUGUGUGUUCAGUGUAAGUGGUGGCCAGACACCAGUUUUAAUUGUGUUAGUCCGUGAACCAGACCAAGAUAAUACAUUCAUGAAACUGGUUAAAAACACAAGACAAAAUAUCAGCAAGUUAGUAAAAUUCUUACUAAGAAUGUUUUAUUAAAAUAAAUGCCAAGA